GGUCAAUGGUGUAUUUGCAACAUGGUGAAGUCCAGGGAGUGGUCAAAGAAGUCAAGAGAGGAGGAUCGUGGGUAAACUGAAGCAGACUCCAGCUGGCUCUGAGUGACAGGCGGGGUACACCUUGGACUGAUAUAUUACCAGCCAAUCCCAGAGAAGAUAUCAGCUUUGCAGGAUGGAGUCUUGUCAUGGAUCAUUUUCGUCAAUGUUCACCUCAGAUUUGUAUUUGGAUUGAGAUCCAGAAUAUUUGCAGGCAAUGACUUUGACUUUAUGUAUCUUUCUUUAAGGAAAGUUUUUAAAGUUUUUGCACUUUGUCGAGAUGCAUUAUCAUCUUGAAAAUGAUAUCAUCUAACUUUUCUUUCCACUGA